rnacentral:tRNA from 29 species
GGGAGUAUAGCUCAGCGGGAGAGCAUUCGCUUCACACGCGAAGGGUCACAAGUUCAAUCCUUGUUACUCCCACCA